rnacentral:rRNA from 1 species
GACGAACGCUGGCGGCGUGCUUAACACAUGCAAGUCGAACGGAAAGGCCCUGCUUGUGUGGGGUGCGUGAGUGGCGAACGGGUGAGUAACACGUGAGUAACCUGCCCUUGACUUUGGGAUAACUUCAGGAAACUGGGGCUAAUACCGGAUAGGAGCUCCUGCUGCAUGGUGGGGGUGGGAAAGUUUCGGCGGUUGGGGAUGGACUCGCGGCUUAUCAGCUUGUUGGUGGGGUAGUGGCUUACCAAGGCUUUGACGGGUAGCCGGCCUGAGAGGGGGACCGGCCACAUUGGGACUGAGAUACGGCCCAGACUCCUACGGGAGGCAGCAGUGGGGAAUAUUGCACAAUGGGCGGAAGCCUGAUGCAGCAACGCCGCGUGCGGGAUGACGGCCUUCGGGUUGUAAAACGCUUUCGCCUGUGACGAAGCGUGAGUGACGGUAAUGGGUAAAGAAGCACCGGCUAACUACGUG